GACGAACGCUGGCGGCGUGCCUAAUACAUGCAAGUUGAGCGCUGAAGGUUGGUACUUGUACCAACUGGAUGAGCAGCGAACGGGUGAGUAACGCGUGGGGAAUCUGCCUUUGAGCGGGGGACAACAUUUGGAAACGAAUGCUAAUACCGCAUAAAAACUUUAAACACAAGUUUUAAGUUUGAAAGAUGCAAUUGCAUCACUCAAAGAUGAUCCCGCGUUGUACUAGCUAGUUGGUGAGGUAAAGGCUCACCAAGGCGAUGAUACAUAGCCGACCUGAGAGGGUGAUCGGCCACAUUGGGACUGAGACACGGCCCAAACUCCUACGGGAGGCAGCAGUAGGGAAUCUUCGGCAAUGGACGAAAGUCUGACCGAGCAACGCCGCGUGAGUGAAGAAGGUUUUCGGAUCGUAAAGCUCUGUUGGUAGAGAAGAACGUUGGUGAGAGUGGAAAGCUCAUCAAGUGACGGUAACUACCCAGAAAGGGACGGCUAACUACGUG
rnacentral:rRNA from 1 species